rnacentral:rRNA from 1 species
GACGAACGCUGGCGGCGUGCUUAACACAUGCAAGUCGAACGGAAAGGCCCCUUUGGGGGUACUCGAGUGGCGAACGGGUGAGUAACACGUGAGUAACCUGCCCUUGACUUCGGGAUAACUUCAGGAAACUGGGGCUAAUACCGGAUAGGAAUCCUUGCUGCAUGGUGGGGGUUGGAAAGCUUCGGCGGUUUUGGAUGGACUCGCGGCUUAUCAGCUUGUUGGUGGGGUAGUGGCUUACCAAGGCUUUGACGGGUAGCCGGCCUGAGAGGGCGACCGGCCACAUUGGGACUGAGAGACGGCCCAGACGCCGACGGGAGGCAGCAGUGGGGAAUAUUGCACAAUGGGCGGAAGCCUGAUGCAGCAACGCCGCGUGCGGGAUGACGGCCUUCGGGUUGUAAACCGCUUUCAGCAGGGGCGAAGCUUGUGGUGACGGUACCUGCAGAAGAAGCACCGGCUAACUACGUG